GUCCUUGCACCGCCCCCCGCCGCCCCCUAUAUUGAACCCGUCGGGGGUUCGCCCGCGACUAUGGACAUAAACGCGCUCGUAAUAAUCGGAUCGGACCCGGGGGCGGUACCCGGCGACUCCACCAAAACCCCGGAUUGGCGGGUCAUGGGGUCGAAACAGGAUCGACGAACGCCUAAAGGGGUUUGCUUUGUCUCGGUGAGGUACCACCGUUAUCGGUCCAAAAUGUACAGUUGCCAAUAACAACCGUGCUCCGGCAAUGGCUCUGGCUGCGUAAGCAGUUCGGGUCGCCGAAACUAAGUCCUUGCGCUUAGCCGCGUAAGGCGGGGUUCGCAGGUACCUGGCAACAGAAACCUGCACU
rnacentral:tmRNA from 1 species